GAGAUAUCUCUCUCAAUCAGAGAGGGGAAAAUCCCAUCUUGAUUGACCAUGUCUUAUAGCAUGCUUCUUGACAAACCCGAAAGCUACCUUUAUAACUACCUUGUUACGGCGUAGCGUUUGAUAGCCCCUAAGUAGGUCGAUCCACAUCUAGAAUACAUGCGACAAUCUCAGGUCUAAGGACAAAGCGUAUAUGUUGUUUAAAGAGAGAACUACUUCUCGUGUUGGGUCAGUCCUAGCACAUGUCUCCA
rnacentral:lncRNA from 1 species